rnacentral:misc_RNA from 1 species
GUGGGUUCUUUACUUAAGAAAGCAUGGAAAUGGAAAGUAUCAGUUGUAGCAUGGAUUCCCAUCAUCGACGAACCAUUAGGGGGAAGAUUUGUCCUUUUUCAGCAAAAUAUUUAGGGUGAUUGGCGGUGUGUCUCGAGGUGGCAAGGGUACCUCAUGGGGCUGUGGUUGAGUUUCACUGUUCUUUGGUGUCUUUUGAGCCUCUAUGGUAGUAGGUUUUCCUGGCGAUGAGAAAUGUUCCAUGGUCAGCGAUCAUUUUGAAAGGACAAGGGAUAAAGUUCCAAAUUGGCUUGAGAGAAUGUUCAGAGGUAGGACAAGUGAAAGUGAGAGUUGUGCUCUGAUGAUGAUGGAAACUGGAUAGACAUUUUUCUGAGUUUUAUGUGCUGGAUUUGGUUGGUAGAUUUUUGUAGCAUAUUAUGUAUCUUUGGUGCUGAUUUGUUAAAGGUUGGUGUGGUAAGAAAAGGCUGAGGAAUAAGGGAUGAGGAUUGAAUGGAAAAAGCAAUUAGCGAUUGUGAAGGGUGGGUAGUCUGUGGAGGUCCUAGUAGCUGGAGCAUCAUAGGAGAAGGGUUGGAUGAAAUGGAAAUAGAGUUUGUACACAUCCAUGGACCAAAAUUAGUUUUGAAGGAAUUUGCACUAUCAGCGUCCUCUUGUUCCUCAGUUGUAGGACAUUUCCAACUGUAAUUACCCACUAUUCCGCAAUUGUAACAAAUGUCAAGAAGUUUCUCAUACUUGAUGCUAACUUUUUGCCAACUACUAUUCUGCUUAAGGUUUUGAAAUCCAGAAAUGAAAGGUCUAUCUAGG